AGAGUUUGAUCAUGGCUCAGAAUGAACGCUGGCGGCGUGCUUAACACAUGCAAGUCGAACGAGAAAGGGAUUGCUUGCAAUCCUGAGUAGAGUGGCGCACGGGUGAGUAACACGUAGAUAAUCUACCCCCAAGCCCGGGAUAACCGUUCGAAAGGACGGCUAAUACCGGAUGCAGUUCAUUCACACAAGUGGAUGGAUGAAAGACUGCCUCUUCAUGAAAGCAGUUGUUUGGGGAUGAGUUUGCGUACCAUUAGCUUGUUGGUGGGGUAACGGCCUACCAAGGCUGUGAUGGUUAGCUGGUCUGAGAGGAUGAUCAGUCACACUGGAACUGGAACACGGUCCAGACUCCUACGGGAGGCAGCAGUGAGGAAUUUUGCGCAAUGGGGGAAACCCUGACGCAGCAACGCCGCGUGAGUGAAGAAGGCCCUUGGGUCGUAAAGCUCUGUCAACCGGGAAGAAGUUAACAUCAACGAACAGUUGAUGUUAUUGACGGUACCGGUGGAGGAAGCGCCGGCUAA
rnacentral:rRNA from 1 species